rnacentral:rRNA from 1 species
AGAUUAUUGGGCCUAAAGCAUCCGUAGCUCGCUUUUGUAAGUUUUCGGUUAAAUCCAUGCGCUUAACGUAUGGGCUGCCGGGAAUACUGCAUAACUAGGAAGUGGGAGAGGUAGACGGUACUCGGUAGGAAGGGGUAAAAUCCUUUGAUCUAUUGAUGACCACCUGUGGCGAAGGCGGUCUACCAGAACACGUUCGACGGUGAGGGAUGAAAGCUGGGGGAGCAAACCGGAUUAGAUACCCGGGUAGUCCCAGCUGUAAACUAUGCAAACUCAGUGAUGCAUUGGCUUGUGGCCAAUGCAGUGCUGCAGGGAAGCCGUUAAGUUUGCCGCCUGGGAAGUACGUACGCAAGUAUGAAACUUAAAGGAAUUGGCGGGGGAGCACAA